AUCCAGCUGACAAGUCCGAAAUAGGACGAAACGCACGUCAUGGAU
rnacentral:hammerhead_ribozyme from 1 species